CUGAAUUUAAGCAUAUAAGUAAGCGGAGGAAGAGAAACUAAAUAGGAUUCCCUCAGUAAUGGCGAACGAACAGGGAAGAGCUCAGAUUGGAUAUCGGGGCCUGUGGCUCCGAAUUGUAGUCUCGAAAUGCAAUGCCAUCGGGGGCGCAGAUUUAAGCCUCUUGGAAGAGAGCGCCGGCGAGGGUGAGAGUCCCGUUCGUCAAUUUGCAGUCCUCCGUACACGGCUUGCACUUGUUGAGUCACGUUCCUCGGGAUUGGAGCGCAAAUAGGGUGGUAAAUUUCAUCUAAAGCUAAAUAUAUGUUUGAGACCGAUAGCACACAAGUACCAUGAGGGAAAGAUGAAAAGGACUUUGAGAAGAGAGUUAAAAGUGCCUGAAAUUGCUGCAAGGGAAGCGGAUGGAACCAGUCCACGCGGUGAGAUUGUUGGGCGGAGGCGUGCGGGGUUGCACUUUCAACGAAAGUGGGGGUGUGAGUCUCAAUCGCCUUUCGCCUGAUGGUUCUUGCCGUGGGGGUCAUUGGUGAUUGGCAGCCGGGGAAACCUUCAAAGGCAUGGUAGCCCGUCUCCGGAUGGGUGAACGCGUUUGAUAGCACUCGGCCGCUGAUCAUAUCCGAGGUGUCCGGUAACUGGCGGCCUUGAGCGCAACGCGAGAACCAAUCGGUUCUUGCUGCGCGUUCGGCCGUAGGUCCUGACACACAUCUACGACCAAAUGGUUCUUUCCGACCCGUCUUGAAACACGGACCAAGGAGUCUAGCAUAUGUGCGAGUGCUUGGGCUGCAAACCCGUGCGCGCAACGAAAGUGACUGCUGGGAUGUUUGCACCAGCAACCGACUGAUCAAUUGCGAGACGUUUGAGUGUGAGCAUAUCUGCUAGGACCCGAAAGAUGGUGAACUAUGCCUGUGAAGAGCGAACCCAGGGGAAACUCUGGUGGAGGCUCGUAGCGAUACUGACGUGCAAAUCGUUCGUCAUACAUGGGUAUAGGGGCGAAAGACUAAUCGAACCAUCUAGUAGCUGGUUCCCUCCGAAGUUUCCCUCAGGAUAGCUGGAGUUGAUCAGUUUUAUCAGGUAAAGCGAAUGAUUAGAGGAAUUGGGGGCGCGUUGUCUUCGACCUAUUCUCAAACUUUAAAUGGGUAAGAUCGAUUAGUUACUUAAUUGAACUUUUCGGACAAAUGUCAACUCCAAGUGGGCCGUUUUUGGUAAGCAGGACUGGCGAUGAGGGAUGAACCUAACGUUCGGAUAAAGUGCUUAACUGCUCGCUCAUCAGAUACCAUAAAGGGUGUUGGUUCAUUUAACAGCAGGACGGGGU
rnacentral:rRNA from 1 species